rnacentral:rRNA from 1 species
CCAGACUCCUACGGGAGGCAGCAGUGGGGAAUAUUGCACAAUGGGGGAAACCCUGAUGCAGCGACGCCGCGUGAGUGAAGAAGUAUUUCGGUAUGUAAAGCUCUAUCAGCAGGGAAGAAAAUGACGGUACCUGACUAAGAAGCCCCGGCUGACUACGUGCCAGCAGCCGCGGUAAUACGUAGGGGGCAAGCGUUAUCCGGAUUUACUGGGUGUAAAGGGAGCGUAGACGGCAUGGCAAGUCAGAUGUGAAAGCCCGGGGCUCAACCCCGGGAUUGCAUUUGAAACUGUCAGGCUGGAGUACAGGAGAGGUAAGUGGAAUUCCUAGUGUAGCGGUGAAAUGCGUAGAUAUUAGGAGGAACACCAGUGGCGAAGGCGGCUUACUGGACUGUAACUGACGUUGAGGCUCGAAAGCGUGGGGAGCAAACAGGAUUAGAUACCCGAGUA